CGCCUGCCGGCGACCGGCGCACGGGUGAGUAACACGUAUGGAACCUGCCCUGUACUGGGGGAUAAGCGGGGGAAACCCCGUCUAAUACCGCGUAACGCGGCCUAGGGACAUCCCAAGGCCGCCAAGGGAGCAAUCCCGGCCACGGAUGGGCAUGCGGCGCAUUAGCUAGUCGGCGGGGUAACGGCCCACCGAGGCGACGAUGCGUAGGGGUUCUGAGAGGAAGGCCCCCCACACUGGUACUGAGACACGGACCAGACUCCUACGGGAGGCAGCAG
rnacentral:rRNA from 1 species